rnacentral:rRNA from 1 species
UACGAAGGGGGCUAGCGUUGCUCGGAAUCACUGGGCGUAAAGGGUGCGUAGGCGGGUCUUUAAGUCAGGGGUGAAAUCCUGGAGCUCAACUCCAGAACUGCCUUUGAUACUGAAGAUCUUGAGUUCGAGAGAGGUGAGUGGAACUGCGAGUGUAGAGGUGAAAUUCGUAGAUAUUCGCAAGAACACCAGUGGCGAAGGCGGCUCACUGGCCCGAUACUGACGCUGAGGCACGAAAGCGUGGGGAGCAAAUAGGAUUAGAUACCCGUGUAGUCC